rnacentral:rRNA from 1 species
AGAGAGAGACAUGCGCGCAUAUCAAUAAGCGGAGGAAAAGAAACUAACUAGGAUUCCCUCAGUAACGGCGAGUGAAGCGGGAAGAGCUCAAAUUUGAAAUCUUCAAGGUUUUACCUUGACGAAUUGUAGUUUAAAGAAGUGUUUUCUGUUAGGAGUUAGGUAAAAGUUCUUUGGAAUAGGACAUCAUAGAGGGUGAGAAUCCCGUAUUUGACCAUUAUUUCCAGCUUUGUGAUACACUUUCAAAGAGUCGGAUUGUUUGGGAAUGCAGUCCAAAAUGGGUGGUAAAUUUCAUCUAAAGCUAAAUAUUGGCGAGAGACCGAUAGCGAACAAGUACCGUGAGGGAAAGAUGAAAAGAACUUUGAAAAGAGAGUUAAACAGUACGUGAAAUUGUCAAAAGGGAAGCGUUUGACACCAGUGUUGUUUUCUCGAAAAUCAAUUAAAAAAGGCCUGGAUUUUGUGUUGUAUUGACCUAUAAGCUUUCUGCACUCUUCUCUUGUCUUUUUUAAUGCACUUUUCGUUUAACAAGUCAACAUCAAUUUCUUUUGUUGUAAAAGGGUCAUUGGAAGGUGGCUUUCUUUUCGGAGAAAGUGUUUAUAGCCUUUGGCCUCUGCAAUCGGAGAGAUUGAGGUCUGCAGCGUAGAUCCUUCGGGGUUAGAUACAUUUGUGCUAAGUUAUAGCUUUUCAUAGACAACAUGUUGACUAUGAUUAGUCAUGUAGCUUACUCGCUUAUGCUAUUUUACCUACGCUUAGGAUGUUGACAGCAGUAUAGACUGU